GACGAACGCUGGCGGCGUGCUUAACACAUGCAAGUCGAGCGGUAAGGCCCUUUCGGGGGUACACGAGCGGCGAACGGGUGAGUAACACGUGGGUGACCUGCCUUUAGCUCUGGGAUAAGCCUGGGAAACUGGGUCUAAUACCGGAUACGACUCCGCGGUGCAUGCUGUGGGGUGGAAAGCCUUGUGCGGCUGGAGAUGGGCCCGCGGCCUAUCAGCUUGUUGGUGGGGUGAUGGCCACCAAGGCGACGACGGGUAGCCGGCCUGAGAGGGCGACCGGCCACACUGGGACUGAGACACGGCCCAGACUCCUACGGGAGGCAGCAGUGGGGAAUCUUGCGCAAUGAGCGAAAGCCUGACGCAGCGACGCCGCGUGCGGGAGGACGGCCUCGGUCGUAA
rnacentral:rRNA from 1 species